GACGAACGCUGGCGGCGUGCUUAACACAUGCAAGUCGAACGGUAAGGCCCUUCGGGGUACACGAGUGGCGAACGGGUGAGUAACACGUGGGUGAUCUGCCCUGCACUUCGGGAUAAGCCUGGGAAACUGGGUCUAAUACCGGAUAGGACUCCUGGCUUCAUGGUUGGGGGUGGAAAGCUUUUGCGGUGUGGGAUGGGCCCGCGGCCUAUCAGCUUGUUGGGGGGGUAAUGGCCUACCAAGGCGACGACGGGUGGCCGGCCUGAGAGGGUGACCGGUCACACUGGGACUGAGAUACGGCCCAGACUCCUACGGGAGGCAGCAGUGGGGAAUAUUGCACAAUGGGCGCAAGCCUGAUGCAGCGACGCCGCGUGAGGGAUGACGGCCUUCGGGUUGUAAACCUCUUUCAGCUAUGACGAAGCGCAAGUGACGGUAGUAGCAGAAGAAGGACCGGCCAACUACGUGCCAGCAGCCGCCGCAG
rnacentral:rRNA from 1 species